rnacentral:rRNA from 1 species
GGACCCGCACAAGUAGUGGAGCAUGUGGUUUAAUUCGAAGAUACGCGCAGAACCUUACCAACACUUGACAUGUUCGUCGCGACUCUAAGAGAUUAGAGUUUUCGGUUCGGCCGGACGAAACACAGGUGCUGCAUGGCUGUCGUCAGCUCGUGUCGUGAGAUGUUGGGUUAAGUCCCGCAACGAGCGCAACCCUCACUUUUAGUUGCCAUCAUUUAGUUGGGCACUCUGAAAGAACUGCCAGUGAUAAGCUGGAGGAAGGUGGGGAUGACGUCAAGUCCUCAUGGCCCUUACGUGUUGGGCUACACACGUGCUACAAUGGUAUUUACAACAGGAAGCAAGACGGCGACGUUAAGCAAAUCCUUAAAAAAUACCUCAGUUCGGAUUGCACUCUGCAACUCGAGUGCAUGAAGCUGGAAUUACUAGUAAUCGUGGAUC